ACCUCGGUAGUGUAAUGGAUCAGCACGGAUGUCUGUAAGUGCGGGUUCGAGUCCCGCCUGAGGUU
rnacentral:tRNA from 1 species